AGUGAACGCUGGCGGUAGGCCUAACACAUGCAAGUCGAACGGCAGCACAGUAAGAGCUUGCUCUUACGGGUGGCGAGUGGCGGACGGGUGAGGAAUACAUCGGAAUCUACUUUUUCGUGGGGGAUAACGUAGGGAAACUUACGCUAAUACCGCAUACGACCUACGGGUGAAAGCAGGGGAUCUUCGGACCUUGCGCGAUUGAAUGAGCCGAUGUCGGAUUAGCUAGUUGGCGGGGUAAAGGCCCACCAAGGCGACGAUCCGUAGCUGGUCUGAGAGGAUGAUCAGCCACACUGGAACUGAGACACGGUCCAGACUCCUACGGGAGGCAGCAGUGGGGAAUAUUGGACAACGGGCGCAAGCCUGAUCCAGCCAUACCGCGUGGGCGAAGAAGGCCUUCGGGUUGUAAAGCCCUUUUGUUGGGAAAGAAAAGCAGCAGGUUAAUACCCCGCUGUUCUGACGGUACCCAAAGAAUAAGCACCGGCUAACUUCGUG
rnacentral:rRNA from 1 species